CCUACGGGAGGCAGCAGUGGGGAAUAUUGGACAAUGGGCGCAAGCCUGAUCCAGCCAUGCCGCGUGAGUGACGAAGGCCUUAGGGUUGUAAAGCUCUUUUGGCGGGGAAGAUAAUGACGGUACCCGCAGAAUAAGCUCCGGCUAACUUCGUGCCAGCAGCCGCGGUAAUACGAAGGGAGCUAGCGUUGUUCGGAAUCACUGGGCGUAAAGCGCACGUAGGCGGAUGUGUCAGUCAGGGGUGAAAUCCCGGAGCUCAACUUCGGAACUGCCUUUGAUACAGCACGUCUUGAGUCCGGAAGAGGUGGGUGGAAUUCCUAGUGUAGAGGUGAAAUUCGUAGAUAUUAGGAAGAACACCGGUGGCGAAGGCGGCCCACUGGUCCGGUACUGACGCUGAGGUGCGAAAGCGUGGGGAGCAAACAGGAUUAGAUACCCUAGUAGUC
rnacentral:rRNA from 1 species